UACACUCAGCAAAGAAAUCAUCACCCACCACGGAUGUGAUAUUAACUUGAAAUUUUAUAGAUUUCUGAAAUGUUGAUUAAAUUUAACUUGCAUACCUGUUUUGUUUGUAUGGCUACCUGAGACAUAUUACACAAGUGUUUUAAGUUUGUUUUUAACAUAUAUUUAUUCAAUGCACUAUUAUAAGCAAAAAACCAUACAAUUUUAGAGGUGUUGAAGGUUUUUUUCCCUUUUUAGAAAGAAUCCAUCUGUGACUCAUUUAACCUGCAGCUUACCAUUACUCUUGUUACUCAGUCACCUCUGACUUUCAAAUUAUUGUUUUACUUUUGCAAGUUAAAAAAAAAAAAAAGGCUUUCAGUCGUUUCUGCCUUGCUGAAAUCUGAAGCAGCAAUAACCCUUUUUUAAUUUUCAUCAGACUCUGUUGAAAUGUUACCAUCACAGUUCCAUUACUAAAUUAGUACCCUGCGUAAGCAACAGUACAAUAGCUUUAAAAAUACACAAUUUGGAGUAAAACCAGCAUGUCUGUGCCCAAGUCCAAGGAUUAGUUCCUAUACUUUCGCCAUUGUUAAUUUAUGUUAACAAGAAAAUUCCAAUUCCAGAGAUUUAACUCCCAAUUAAUGCAGUAGCUGAACUUACAUUGUACUGUUCCUUUUUAUUGUAUCUUUGUAAUACAUACAUAAAAGCACGGGACACCCUCAAAUACUGCACUGAAGGUGAUCCUUCUAUUUUUAACUCUGGACAUAUAAUAAGACAAAGCUGUGUGGCUGCGUAAAACAUUUUUCUUCAAAUUAAACAUCAAAAAAUUUAAUGUUCAAAGGAUGGGUUCUCCUAACGAAAUUUUCAUUCCAAUAUGCCAUCAUCCCCCAAACUUGAUUAACUUACCUAAAAUCAAGCAUCUCUUUUCCCCUGACAAUUAUUUCAUCUCAACUUUCUAGCUUUUCUCAAUUUCUGUGAUCGGAAGAGCUCAC